rnacentral:lncRNA from 1 species
UUACACAUCUUUUCCACACAUACAUAAGGCAGCUUGAAUUUCUGGUAAUUGUGAGGGCUUGACCCUUGCAACUAUUUCCAAUAUACCCCUGGUGGCUUUUGGACUUUGUCAAGAUCAUCUGAUGAUAUACACAACCUGGAUACCCCAUGGUUCUCCUACCACCAGAUGCUACUGAGGCUAAACUGACUGGACUGAGGAAAAAUAUCUGUGGGGAAAACUUUCUUUCAGAAUCCAACUUUGAACCAGAGAAAUCCAUUCUCUUGAAGCUGUCUGCUGUGGAGAAGUUGGCCUUACCAAUCUGCCUUUGAAGUUCAAGUUAUACAGGAUCUGCGAGGCUACCUGUGAAUGAAUGGUUGGUUGGUCACUACUUGCAAGUUUUUCAGGAGCUCCUGAAAGAUUACUGCAUAAAUAAGGGAAGAUGGAGACCAGACCUCUGGCUACUGUUGCUGCCACCACUACAGAUACCACCUUCACCCUUAUGAACCCCCUAUUUACUGAACAUUCUCUAUAUGCCAGGUAACAUGCCCUGCACUUGUGAAAUAAGGACUGUUAUUUCCCCUAUUUUAUAAAAGAGGAGCUGAGGCUCAGAGAGAUUAUGUUACUUGCCCAAGAUCAGAUAGCUAGUAAGUGGCAGAGAUGAGAUUCUGUCUGAGUCCAGCUUACACCAUAACUGAUAUUCUUGACAAUCGGGCUGGAUAGAAAAGGAUAAGAUAUGAGAAUUUUGGUGCUAUGAUUUGAAUUUUCCUUCCAAAGCUCAUGUUGAAACUUAAUCCCCAAAGUAACAGUACUGAUAGGUGGGGUCUUUAACAUGGAGUCCCAGAAUUGGAUCGUGAGGGCUCUGCCCUGAUAAAUGAAUUAUUCCACUCAUGAUUAAUGGAUUAAUAGAUCAUCAUGGGAGUGGAACAGUGGCUUUAUAAGAAGAGGAAGAGAGACCUGAGGUAGAACACUCAGCGCCCUUGCCAUGUGAUGCUCUGUACUGCCUUGGGACUCUGCAGAGUCUCUCUACCAGCAAGAAGGUCCUCACCAGAUGCAGUCCCUUGACCUUGGCCUUCUUAGCUUCUACAACUGUCAUAAAUAAUUUUUUCUUUAUAAAUUACCCAGUUUUGGGAGUUCUAUUAUAAGCAAUAAAAACCAGUCAAAUACAUUGAGUUAUAAUUAUGAUGUUUAAGAUGGAGGAAAAUGAACAUGGAAAACACUAGAGAAAUGAAUGCUAAACUAGAGCAUAAGCAUUGGGAUUGUGAAAAAAAGAUAUUUGAAAUAUUUUAAAGAUAUGGAAUUUAAAAGAUUAUGAAACAGAUAAAGUAUAAGAGAAAGAGAGAAAAUGAAAAAUGAUCCCAAGAUUGCAAACCCUUAGUAUUGGUGAAACACUCAUAGCUGGGGGAAAAAGUCAAAAGGAAGAGCUGGCUUGUGGGUACAGAUGGAGAAAUCCGGAUUUAUUGAACCUUUCUUUGCCAGCGGGGUAUUUGUGUAAAAAGAGCUAUUCAUUUAUUCUCAUUCAUUUAGCAUGUAAAGAACACAGCUAGGCAUUGGAAACACAUAACAAAACCUAUUUCUGUACACAUUUAGAAAUGUGGAUCUGAAAGAUCAAGAUUUUGGGUUUCAUUCAUUUAUUUAUUCAAACAUGUGUUGAGGUCUUUCCAAAGUAUGUGAUAAAUUAAGCAGAAAGGACAGAGAAAUUCAUGAAAAUAGGUAUGAUCAUCAAGGAAAACAAUAAAAAAUGUAAGGUAAAAGGCCAAACUUAAGGGAAUGCCUUUAUUAAGGGAUAUGGGAGGGAGAAAAAAUAAUUUGAAAAGAAGUUGUCAAGGUGGGAAGAGAGCAGGACAAAACAGUCUCAGAAUUGGGUGUAUGAGAGAGAUUUUAGGAAGAAGAGAGGGUUCAGUAGUGCCCAAGACCAGAGCU